CACGUAGUUAGCCGUGGCUUUCUGGUUAAAUACCGUCACUGGGUGAACAGUUACUCUCACCCACGUUCUUCUUUAACAACAGAGCUUUACGAGCCGAAACCCUUCUUCACUCACGCGGCGUUGCUCCAUCAGACUUGCGUCCAUUGUGGAAGAUUCCCUACUGCUGCCUCCCGUAGGAGUCUGGGCCGUGUCUCAGUCCCAAUGUGGCCGAUUACCCUCUCAGGUCGGCUACGCAUCAUCGCCUUGGUGAGCCGUUACCUCACCAACUAGCUAAUGCGCCGCGGGUCCAUCCAGAAGUGAUAGCAGAGCCAUCUUUUAAAAGAAAACCAGGCGGUUUUCUCUGUUAUACGGUAUUAGCAUCUGUUUCCAGGUGUUAUCCCCUGCUUCUGGGCAGGUUACCCACGUGUUACUCACCCGUCCGCCACUCACUUCGUGUUAAAAUCUCAUUCAGUGCAAGCACGUCAUAAUCAAUUAACGGAAGUUCGUUCGACUUGCAUGUAUUAGGCACGCCCG
rnacentral:rRNA from 1 species